AUUGAACGCUGGCGGCAGGCCUAACACAUGCAAGUCGAGCGGAUGAAGGGAGCUUGCUCCUGGAUUCAGCGGCGGACGGGUGAGUAAUGCCUAGGAAUCUGCCUGGUAGUGGGGGAUAACGCCCGGAAACGGGCGCUAAUACCGCAUACGUCCUGCGGGAGAAAGUGGGGGAUCUUCGGACCUCACGCUAUCAGAUGAGCCUAGGUCGGAUUAGCUAGUUGGUGGGGUAAAGGCCUACCAAGGCGACGAUCCGUAACUGGUCUGAGAGGAUGAUCAGUCACACUGGAACUGAGACACGGUCCAGACUCCUACGGGAGGCAGCAGUGGGGAAUAUUGGACAAUGGGCGAAAGCCUGAUCCAGCCAUGCCGCGUGUGUGAAGAAGGUCUUCGGAUUGUAAAGCACUUUAAGUUGGGAGGAAGGGCAGUAAGUUAAUACCUUGCUGUUUUGACGUUACCAACAGAAUAAGCACCGGCUAACUUCGUG
rnacentral:rRNA from 1 species